AGUGAACGCUGGCGGUAGGCCUAACACAUGCAAGUCGAACGGCAGCACAGUAAGAGCUUGCUCUUACGGGUGGCGAGUGGCGGACGGGUGAGGAAUACAUCGGAAUCUACUUUUUCGUGGGGGAUAACGUAGGGAAACUUACGCUAAUACCGCAUACGACCUACGGGUGAAAGCAGGGGAUCUUCGGACCUUGCGCGAUUGAAUGAGCCGAUGUCGGAUUAGCUAGUUGGCGGGGUAAAGGCCCACCAAGGCGACGAUCCGUAGCUGGUCUGAGAGGAUGAUCAGCCACACUGGAACUGAGACACGGUCCAGACUCCUACGGGAGGCAGCAGUGGGGAAUAUUGGACAAUGGGCGCAAGCCUGAUCCAGCCAUACCGCGUGAGUGAAGAAGGCCUUCGGGUUGUAAAGCCCUGUUGUUGGGAAAGAAAAGCAGCAGGUUAAUACCCCGCUGUUCUGACGGUACCCAAAGAAUAAGCACCGGCUAACUUCGUG
rnacentral:rRNA from 1 species